AACGAAUCAAGCCUCGACACAGUGCUUCUGAAGCAGCGUGUUGAUCUUUUUGACACGAGCACCGGAGCGUCAGCUUCAAGCGGACCAUCACUACCUCUCACAUCUAAAGGUUCCUUCAUGUAAUGAUCUGCUAGAGGGUGUGGGGGGCCACUGCCCCGUCCUCCAGGGCAUGAAGCACGUGUGGAGGAGAUCAAAACUCCAGACAUUCAGAGGCCCCCAGAACACAAGAGACCAAGGAAGACCAACAGAGGGGCAGCUGCGCCACUAUCCCAGAAAGAGCUGAGGAGAGUCCCAGAUGAGGGGUCACUCAGCAGCCGCGGAGCAGAAGCCAGGGGGGGUUGCAGUGACGUGCCCGUGAGCUCCGCCGGCAGCCAGCUGUGCCUGAGUGACCGAGCCCCGGGCCAAGAGGCCGAGGGCACCCCAUCCCCGAAGUGGCCCGAGCGAGCCCCAGGCUCCAGGCCCCGAUAAGCAGCCGCCAAGGAGUGAGCCGGUGGGUACCUGGGCGCCCAUCCCCGGACACAAAGAACCACCAACGCACCGAUGUCUGAGGGCGUCCGCCACCGGCAGGGGAAGUGGUGGGGGGAGAUAGGCCUCCAAACCUUGGAGGGCCUGAGAUGUCCCCAGAGAGGUGGCGUCUGAUACCCAACCUGACAUAUAGACACAGACAUACAGGCACACACAGAUACAAACAUCCAUUCCCACCCUCAUGCUCUCAAUUGCAAUUACUCCACACUCAACCAGCGUGGAGACAGACAUAAAGAGACGCUGUACACACAAUCACACUCCCCAAGCGUACUCUAAGAACCGGGUCUAGGUACCCUUGUGCCCAGACCCAGGUGGUGUUACCCUUUUCCCUGCGGUGGAGAGAAGCAGACCGCCCCGACUCCGCAGCAGCAGGGAGGCCCCACAUUCCAGACCCCAGUCGGACGGCCAACUCCUCCUCCUAGCCCCCCCGCUCCAGCAGGCCGCAGAGAACGGGGGUGUGAGAAGACUCCAAACCUCCCUCCACCCGCUCAUAUGUAGUGUUGAUGUAUGUGUGUUCUAAGGUGCAUUUAAAACCCAGGAGGGCAUGGAGCUACCUGCCAGAGCAGCAGCUGAUCAGCAGGAGGAGAAGAGUCUGACGGAGCAGCAGAGGAACAUUUUCAGCUACUUGGACUCAGCUCAGCCACUACAGAGAAAACAAUGAGCUCAACACAGAAGGUGACAGACAGAGCAGGGCGAUAUGACCAAAAA